rnacentral:rRNA from 1 species
UACGAAGGGGGCUAGCGUUGCUCGGAAUCACUGGGCGUAAAGCGCACGUAGGCGGAUUGUUAAGUCAGGGGUGAAAUCCUGGAGCUCAACUCCAGAACUGCCUUUGAUACUGAGAAGCUUGAGUCCGGGAGAGGUGAGUGGAACUGCGAGUGUAGAGGUGAAAUUCGUAGAUAUUCGCAAGAACACCAGUGGCGAAGGCGGCUCACUGGCCCGGUACUGACGCUGAGAUGCGAAAGCGUGGGGAGCAAACAGG